rnacentral:lncRNA from 1 species
UGUUAUUAAGUUUGUACAUCAGCUCCAUUGCCUGUCCUAUGGUUUUCCCAAAUGUCCGAAAAUUGCCUCAAGUUAUGUUCAGGGUAUGUUCCUGACCGCCUAUACACAUCAAUAGUUUCUUUAUUUCUUACACAAAUUAUAACAAUUCGUCUGCGUGACACUUAUUAAUAUCCAGAAUACUAUACUCAGACCGUAACAAGGAACCAUACUUUUAUACAUUCUUUCAUGGCACAUAUAUAAAUUUUAUAUAAAGUCUUCAAUGAUAUACAUGCAUAGGUCUCAGUUCAGCAGUCAGUUUUAAAUGUCUUGUUUUGUAUCAUUUUCACAUAACAGUUCUGUCUGAAAUAAACAUUAUUACUUGGAAAUGAAAGUUAAUUUUCACAAAAGGCGCGUUUCCGGAUUUAGACCGUUGAAAAACUGAGAUUUAGUUAGGGAAUACACGUAUGUAAAGGAAGUAUAAGGCGGGUGAUGGUAAUGAUGGCUCCAAGAUUUUGAGUGAGAGUAGUGAGUUUUCUAGAAAGAUCUGGAGGUAUCAUUCCCGUAAAAAAUUAAGAAAGAAAUUUGGUGAUGAUUUUAAAUUUUCAUAAUACAUGGCCGUUUUCGUCAUCCAAAUUCACAAUACAAACAUUAGCAUUUUACUGUAGCUCGGAGUAAACCAAAAAUAUCGUAACUGAUGACUUAUAUCUUUAUUUUAACAUUUCAAAACGAUACCCAGUAAGCUUUAGGGGUUUGAGCGUCGCCUGAUCCGCUCGCCUAUUCUUUCGUUUUCAUUGAAUCGGGGAUCCUCGGUAAUGUACGUUAUAUCACGAAUAUUAACGGAGGUUCCCGAGGGUUAUGUUUGUAUCGUCUGCUAUUUUAUUGAAUCGGGGAUCCACGGUAAUGUACAUAAUAUCACAGAUAUUAACGUAGGUUCCAGAGGCAAUUCAUCCUUGUGUUUGUCCAUGCAGUCUUUGUGCACACUUGUCAUGUUUGUUUUUUUUCUUUUUAAUAUGUCCAAUCGUCGUGUCUGAAUGAGAGAUUGAAUGAGAGAAAGAAAUACAUUGGUCUGUUGUUUUUUUUAAAUCCCUUUGCACUUUUCACCGCCGAAUUCCUUCGGCCCUCAGAACAGUCUUUCUACUCCUACGAUCUACUUUCCAGGGAUCUAAUUUCCAGAUUUUAUUUCUACCCCUAAUUGUAAGAUGGUAAAUCAGGCCUACUUCAAAUUCAAAUCAUUUUGAAUUAUUUAAUUCACUUCAGUUGUGGUAAAAUAUAUUUAGAUAUAUUGUUGAUAUUGUAUUUCUUUACACAAUGCGUGAGUUAUUGUUUGUGCAAUUUUGUAUUAGGCCUAUGUCAUGUUUAUGUUAGGCCUUUUUAUAUUACGGAAUAAGAAAGAGAGUAACGAACCGACGCCGGGAAUUGCUAUGACAUUAGUAAAAUAAAGGCUAUGAAAUUAUUAUAGUUUGUUUGAUAAAAAGAUGACUUAAUGCCUUGUGGUUACACGAUUAUAUACAAAUGGCUGUGAUUAAGAUGAAAAUGUAUUUCAGAUUAUACACCAACGCACAAUUCAGACUCGCACAAAUCACGAUUUUUUGAAUUGUUUGUAAAUUUCUAUUAUAGGAUCAAUCAUCUACUUUAAAUAUUAUCAGAUCAUUUAAAAAUGAAACAUGCUUUAUCAUUUGCGCACGAUAAACCAAUUCUCGGACGAUCAGAAAACACAUCGACGAUCAAUAUAGGCUACACAUCCGUACAAUUACUUCCUACUAGUUUUGAAAAAAAUUGACAUGUUUAUCCCAGGUGAGAACUACACCCUGUGCUUUGUUCAUUUUACACAACGUCAGAUCUUCUGAAUAUGAUGUACGCAUAAAAAUUGCUUUUUUACCAGUCCGAAUUCAAACAGACGAAAUAUGAACACUUGAACAUCAUCUCAACUAACUAGUUUUCCGGUGCGAAAAUUUUUGUUUUUGUUUUGGAACACAUUUAUUUUAAACAUUUAUCUCUCCGCCGAAGAAAACUUUUAUAAAAUAUGCUUAUUAAAUAAGACUCAUAAAUUUCAUUACAUGUUUAUGUUUAGAUUAUGCCGGUUGUUUUGUUACUAAGCAAGUGCCCAUUUUAUUUACACGACGUUAAAAAAAUGUAGACUGCGUCACUGUGUUUAACCAGUUACGAGAAAGUUACGAGAAAGUUACGAGGAUUGCGAUAUGCGGACUUACGAGGACGUUGAUAAGACGGUUUGCGAGAAUCAUAAAUAUUCUCGUAAAUCGGAACUUACGAGAAAUGGACCUCGCAAGUUUCUCGUAAAGUUACGAUUUUGAUAAGACGGCCCCCAUAUGUAUAUCUAAAACUCUGUGAUACGGUCAAAAUAGAUGUACUUGCAUAAAUAUGGAAGGGCAUUUAAUCCUUGCAUGUAAAUGACUUAUUAUUGCAUGUUAAUUACUUAUUAUUGUGUGUUAAUGACUUAUCCAUUGGUGUAAAUCACUUGUUAUUGCAUGUAAAUGAUUUGUUAUUUUGUGUAAGUGACUUAUUCUUGAAUGUAAUUGAGAAAGUGAUUAUGCUGUAUUUCUUGUUUACUUGUCAUUCUUAACAUGUUUGUGUGUUCUUAUUCUUGAUGCAUUUUCGUAAGUGCAUUGGCUCAGUUGAUCAUAAUGAAAAAUUUCAAAUUUAUUGAUGAUAUUCACUGCCACCAUUAAAUCUACAUCGGUCUAAACGAAAUAUAUCGUGUAGCAGGUUAUCGAAUGGAAGAAGCAGCAAGCAUCAAGGAUAACGACGAAAGCAUAAUAUAAAGUCGCGAAAUGGCGCCAGGCGGCGCUGCUCUCAUGAAUAUUCGACAUUAUCCGUGAAACCGUGAAGAAAGUGUUUUUGUUAUGUCCCUUACUACCAUAUUCGCCAUUUGUAACGCAUUCAUUUGCGUAACCGCCAGCCAUGUUUACUGGGAUCGAAGACACUCAGUUUUAAGUAAGUCAUCUGUAUUUCGUAAGUGUUGGCAUCCCAAUGGUUAUAUUGGAAGUAUCGGAUAGAUCUAACACUGGUAACAGGAGUUUUUAAGAGCAUAUCCAUGAUUCUUAAGAGGGCGGCCGUGGUCGGCAAUUGUGUGUACGCACGCAUUGAAUGUUUUUUUGUUUUGGGUUUAACGCCAUUUUUCAACAGUAUUUCAGUCAUGUAACGGCGGGCAGUUAACCUAGCCAGUGUUCCUGGAUUCUGUACCAGUACACGCAUUGAAUGUAGGGCCUAAAUUCAUGUUAAACCAAAGAAGUAUAAAAUUUAUUUUUAUAACUCUUUGGUUAAACCUAUAAACUGGUAACUGUUUUUUGUUGUGGAUAUCUUUAUAUUAGUCAUGUAAUUUCUGUCUGGUGACUACUCUCUUGGCUUGCCAGUAUUGCUGAUUCAAAACGUUUUGUGACAGGAUGAUUGGAGGCCCCAAUAUUGAUAGUGGGAAUUUAGAAAAUCUUUUUAUUUUUGCAUGUUUGAGCCUUGCUGAGUGAAAAAUAAGAUCUUUUAUUAAACAAUGGAUUCUUACUGUGAUAACUUUAAAAGUAUUCUGUGGUAUAUUAAUGAAACCUUUCACAUUAUAAAUUAAUUUGAUAUUCAGAUUGAUUUUAAGUGUAUCUUCUUUCAGAUAAUAUAGCUUGUUUCUUUCAUGGUUCAUUCCACUACAGCUUGGACUAUGCUCAACAUGUUCAUAUACCCAGCUACAGCCAGGAAGUUUGUCCAGUUUACUUUAAGACCCCAAGUAAAUGUAACAUAUUUGGGAUGUGUUGUAAGGGAUCAGGAAAACAAGUGUUUUAUCUUGUUGAUGAAAGCAACUCGGUUGGUAAAGGGGAAAACAACUAGUGAGCAUGGUACACCACUACCUGUAUUGGUGUUCCAUUUGGACAAUGCUGCUGGCCAGAAUAGAUACAAUAACUUGCUGUGGUAUGGUCUGUGGAGAAUUUACUAGGAUAUCACAGUUCAGUUGGUUGAAUUUUCAAAAAUGAUAGCAGGCCAUACUAAAUUUGACCCUGAGUGGCCCUUUGGAUUUUGGAAGAAUUGAUGGAGGAGGGUGAAUGCUUAGACCUUACAUGAUAUUGCAGACAGUGGAUCAGUCAUUGAAGGUCAUAAACAUUGCACAGCUGGUCAACAAUGAUUCAAAACCUGUCACAUUCUACCAGUGGAGAAAUUUCUUAUCACAUUGUUUUAAACCUUCAACAUGUUCAAAGAACAUUACCAAGUAUCAUUUCUUUAUCAUGUCUGCAAAAACACUUGGAAUUGUUAGUGUUAAAAAUCUUAAGUGACAGUCCAGUUGUGACAGUCAGCAUACUAAAAUCUACUCCUCCUUAUGGAUGCAAUGCCGAACGAGUACUAUUUACAUGGAAUAACAAAAGCCGGACAAUGGUACCUAUAUUAAGGGGACGCAUAUUGCUACAUUCACAGUUCAUACAGAAAUGAGGAAGGGGUGCAUAUUCAAGAAAUCGAUGGUGGGAAGAUAAAAAACAUAUUCCUAAACUGAUAUAAUACUG